rnacentral:lncRNA from 1 species
AUGCAGAGCAGUUCAGCAGGAAUCCACCCCUGUGUGCUCAAAUCAAGAGAGAAUCAGAUUGAUCCUCCAGCUCAGCGAAGGACAUGGUUUCUUUGGACCACCAAUGCAUCUGAUUCCAAAAGCAGAACUUAUGAUGAGACUGUCUUGUUUAGGAUUGCAACUCAGUCAGGUGAAGACACCAAAGCCAAAUGGGCAGCCCAGCAGUCCCAUGUUCCAGUGAGCACCUGACCACCAUCAGCUGGGAUGGAGUCUCAGGCUUAAACCCUAUUACACCUUGAGUUGCUGACUCAGUAAAUCAGAAAAGACUUUGGCAACAUCUGCUUGUGAUCCUGUAACCAGAUCAACAGACUUUGAGCCAGCACAGGGAUAUGAAGUGAAGGUCGGGAGCGCAAGGCAUUAGCCAAUACUAUUCUCAUCAUCUCCAGACGUUUUCUCUGAAGUGGUUUAUCCAUACUCCAAACUGGAUCAAGCCAAAAAGGGAGUGCUAGCUUUAAGGCAUACAUGGUAUAUACUUAAUAAAAGGAAGCUUUCAAGAGAGGAAUGUAUGAGA